GUCAAAGUCACUUAAAAACUUAUUUAAGUUAAUUGGGGGAUGAAAUUAAUAUUACAAAAAAAAAAAAAAAACUUUUCCAAAAUACCCAACACACCCUAUUCGUCAAUUACCCAUUUAAUUAAAAUAUAAAAACAAAUUUUAAAAAAUCUUUGUCAACUAUCUUGGAAUAAUUGACGAACAUCUCCCCCUCUAUAUCCUCAACAGCUGUGGCAAUAGCUUUACAACAGAUUUGUCGCCUCGUCGUCGACGGCCGCUACAAUUUCGAAAAAUUCAACGUCGAUGCUUCAUUACUUUUUUCUUCAUCGAUAUCUUUUUAAAUCAGUACAAGGCAUAUUCAGACGGUUGCUAAGAGAACUAGAAUAGAAGAUCGUUAGCUUCUUGCAUUUAAGGAUGGUGAACACUCGCUACAAUGUUGUCCAGCCCACAUUUCCAAUCCAACCAAAUGAGGAACCAAUCGUGAGAGGACGUGGACAAGGAAGAGGCAGGAGAAAGAGACGUAGUAGAGGUUGAGGGAGAGUAACACCCGCUAGUGGUGAGGCUCUGAUAGAAGAAGUCCCUAGAGAGGAGGCCCCUCCCGCACCCCAGGAUGAGUUGGAAGAGAACAUGGAGGUGGAGGAAAAAGAGGUUGAAUAGGUGAAGGACACCUAAGCUGGGGCUAUUGGUCUUCUCUCUCUAGACCCUAUAUUAGCGUUGUAGAUCAUAGCCUUUCUGAGUAGGUUGGUUGGUACUGGAGCUAUCCCACCAUGCCCGCAUCACCAUCUCUUAUUGCUCGACCAUUUAUUAUUGCAGCUCUUUUAGUAGAUGAGGUGGUAGGCAUUGAUUCCUUCUUCAGACUACUUAUGGGCCUAGUUAUAACCGAUACUGAACAUGACAUGCUCACAAAGAUUCUGAAACUUAAGCCUCCUGUCUUUCAUGGAUCUUAGAGUGAGGAUGCAUAUGAGUUCAUCCUUGACUACUAUGCGAGGUUGCAUAAGUUGGGGAUAGUACACCAACACAGAGUGGAGUUUAUGACUUUUCAGCUAAAUGGUGAGGCCAAUCACUGGUUGAGGGAUUAUGUAGAGUGUCCCUCACCAGUGUUACCCCUACGUACUUAGGUCCUGUUUCAUGUCCUCUUCUCGGAGAAAUAUGUGUUGCGUACCUUGGGUCGCAAAAAGUACGAAUUCAUGGCAUUGGAGCAAGGUAGUAUGUUAGUGGCCGCCUAUGAGGCCAAAUUCCAUGCAUUAUCCAGGUAUGCUACUUAGCUGGUUACCACAUAGAAGGAGAGAAUCUGAUUAUUUGUGAAGGAGUUGAACCAUGAGUUACAGGUUUUUUCAAUGAGGUAAUAGAUUUUAUGAAACAGGUAGAGGGAGUACAAUAAGAUGGGCAGGCCAAGGCUUUGGCUAAGAAUCCCAAGAGUACAAGUAACUUUCAGGGAUCCUAUUCUAGAGGGUCAGGUAGGCCAAUAAUUGCAACCCAUCCGAUUUAGUCAGCACUGCCCAUUUCUACUGACAACGUUUUAGGUACUCUACAACAACAUCUGACCCAGAAAGGCUAAGGAGCUUCUUUUAUGGUUGGUAGUAGGUCGUCCUUUAGAUGCAACUAUUUUAAUUACAGAGAGCUGGGGCACAUCAGGUGGGAGUGUCCCCACCCUCGCGGGACAGAUUUAGCACCCGAGCAGGCCAGGGCAGUGGUACUUACGAGUGGAGGUGGAAGUGGUAGAGGACGUCUAUAAGGUGGUAACAACAACAACAUACCUAGUGAAAUCCCAUCAGUGGAGUCUGGGGAGGGUAGGGUGUACGAAGACCUUACCACUACCUCAUGGAGGUAGAGAGGUUAUUUUCGAAAGACCCUCGGCUCACAAGUCACAAUUCCAAGUUCGAGAGAAAAAUAAUAUAUAUAGCAUAAAACAAAAAUUAAAAAAAUUAAAAAAGAAUAAAAAGAAUAAUUAAAAAAAUAAAACGCAAUGCAAAUUUUACAAGACAAGAACAAUAACAAUAGAAAAGUAAUACGAUAAUCAAAGGCAAUAACAACACAACUAUAAAGGCACGCCUAGAUCUAUGACCACCCUAAACCGACACACGACAAGACACCAUUCUAUGCCUACUAGUCAUCUACCCUAAUCCGCGACCUCCACUCCUUUAUAUCUAAGGUCAUGUCCUCGGAGAUAUAAAGUAGCACCAUAUCUUGUCUAAUCACUUCUCUCUAAUACUUUUUUGGUCUACCCCUACCCAUCGUAUAGCCCCCAAAUCCAACCGCUCGCACCUCCUAACUGGAGCGUUGACACUUCUCCUCUACACAUGUCUAAACCAUCUCAUUCUCGCUUUUCUUAUCUUGUCUGCCACAGAUGUCACUCCCACCUUCUCUUAAAUAACCUUAUUCCUGAUUUUAUCACUUCUAGUAUGUUCACACAUCCAUCUCAACAUCCUCAUCUUUACAACAUGCAUCUUCUGAACAUGAGAGUUCUUUACUGGCCAGCUAAGGUAAUGGUAGUGUAGGUCAAGGAACAACGUAUCUAGGUAGAAAGGUGGCCCGUCAAACAGACAGAGCUCAGUUUAAUGCCUUUACGGGCAAGACCAAGGCUGAGGCAUUUGAUGUAGUAAUCACAGGUAGUAUUUUGUCUGUGACCGGAUGGCUGCUAUUUUAUUUGAUCCGGGAUCUACUUAUUCAUAUAUUUUAGUAAGAUAAGCCUUGGGUUUUGAUAUGAUGUGUAAUGUACUUGAUGCCCACAUCCAUGUUUUUACCCUGUUAGAUAGUCCGUUAUAGUCACCCAUGUUUAUCAUGCUUGUCCUAUUAUGUUCAUGAGAUUCCAAACUUGGGCAGACUUAGUGAUUUUAGACAUGACCAAUUUUGAUGUGAUCUUAGGCAUGACUUGGUUAUCCCCCUAUUAUGUUGUUCUUAAUUGUAAUGCUAAGACUGUGACUCUAGAGAUCCCGGGGAGGGAAAGGUUAGAGUGAGAAGGGGUAUACAAGUCUAAGCCAGCUAAGGUCAUACCCUUUCUGCAAGCUAUAAAAAUGGUGGGCAGGGUUGUUUAGCCUUUUUGGGCCAUAUUUUAAAUGUUAAUGUGGAGUCUCUCUCCAUUGAGUCUAUUCCAAUAGUGUGUGAAUUUCCAGAUGUGUUCUCUAUAGACUUGCAUUGUAUGCCUCCUAAGAGAGACAUAGAUUUCUAUAUUGACUUGGAGCCGGGCACUCGUCCAAUUUUUAUACCUCCUUACUGCAUGGCUCCAACAGAGUUGCGAGAGCUUAAGACUCAAAUCCAAGAACUUUUUGAUAAGGGGUUCAUCCGUCCUAGUGCUUGCUCUAAAAUUAUGGCUUGGAGUUGGCAGCAAUAGUGUUUGCUCUAAAAAUAUGGAGACAUUAUCUCUAUGGUGUCAAAUGUGAGGUGUUUACUAAUCACCAUAGUUUGCAACAUGUAUUCAUCCACAAAGAUUUGAAUUUGAGGUAGCGAAGGUGGGUGGAGUUGCUCAAGCAUUAUGAUGUCACUAACCAGUAUCAUCCAGGCAAGGCUAAUGUGGUGGCAGACGCAUUAAGCUGGAAAUUGGUUAGUAUGGGCAGUCUAGCCUAUUUGGAGCCUAUGAGCAGCCCCUGGCUAUAGAGAUUUGGGGCUUAGAGGCCAAAUUCAUGAGGCUAGACAUCUCAUAAAAGGGUGGGGUGAUGACUAAUGUUGAUCUAAAGCCCACAUUUAUUGAAGAAAUGAAAGUCAAAUGGUUUGAGUAUGUGAACUUGAUGGAGAUUAGAGAAAACGUUUGAUGGGCAAGGCCUAAAAUGUAGCCGUUGAUGCAGGUAAGGUGCCCAACUUUAGGGGAAUGAUUUAUGUUUCCUGGGUAGAUAAUUUAAUUUAGAAAGUGUUGUUCGAACCCCAUAGUUUAUAGUACUCUAUCCAUCUCGGAGUGACCAAGAUGUAUCAAGAAUUAAAGCGUCUGUAUUGGCGGUCGGGUAUGAAGAAAGACAUAGCUAGAAUAUGUAGCUAAGUGCUAGAAUUCUCAGCAAGUGAAAUAGGAGCAUUAAAGACCUACAUGUUUGCUUCAAAGAAUGUCCAUUCCUAAAUGAAUGUGGGAAAGGAUAGCCAUGGACUUUGUGGUAGGACUUUCCAAUACUUUGGCGAAGUAUGAUUCUAUUGGGUUGUUGUUGAUAAACUGACAAAGUCAACCCACUUCAUCCUGAUUAGAGUAGAUUAUAAUACACAAUGAUUGGCAAAAUAUAUGUGAAGGAAAUAGUAAGGCUGCACGGGGUGCCUCUUUCUAUCAUUUCAGACUAUGGUAUGCACUUUACCUCUAAAUUUUGGGAAAAGUUGCAUGAAAAGUUAGGCACUCAACUCACUUUCAGCACAACCUUUCAUCUACAGACAGAUUGGUAGUCAGAGAGGACUAUCCAAGUAUUGGAAGAUAUGUUGAGAGCAUGUAUGAUCGACUUUGGAGGACAUUGGGAUAGGUUCUUGCCCUUGUAGGAGUUCUCUUACAACAAUAGUUACCACUUCAGCAUUGAGAUGUCACCAUUUGAAGCCCUUUAUGAAAGGGGAUGUAGGUCUCCCAUAGGGUAGUUUGAGUCUGGAGAAGUAGAGCCCUUGGGGGUUGACUUAGUAAGAAAUACCCAAGAUAAGGUAAGGAGCAUCCAAGCUAAGCUUCUAGCAGCUCAAAGUCGCCAAAAAAAGUAUGCUGACCGUAAGGUAAGGGACAUGACAUUCUAAGCUAGUGAGCAAGUGCUUCUAAAAGUGUUACCUAUUAAAGGGGUAAUGAGAUUUGGUAUGAAGGUCAAGCUCAGUCCUCACUAUAUUUUUUUCCUUUAGAGAUUCUUGAUCGUGUAGGGCUAGUGGCUUACAAAUUGGCUUUACCACCUAGCUUUUCUUAGGUACAUCCUGUGUUUCAUGUGUCCAUGCUGAAGAAGUACCAUGGAGAUGGAGAUUACAUCGUUAAAUGGACUCAAUUUUGUCAGACAAGGAUCUUCAGUAUGAAGAAGAGCCAGUGGCAAUCUUGGAUCGUGAUGUACGAAAGCUGAGGACCAAAUAAAUUAAGUCUGUGUAAGUUCAAUAGAAGCAUCGUUCGGUAGAGGAAGCUAUUUGGAAAAAUGAAAAAGACAUGUGAGACAAGUAUCCCCAACUGUUCGUCAAAUCAGGUAUUACUCUGUCUCUAUCUUAGCCCUAUUUUUACCUAGUUGGUCACUCGGGGAUGAGUGAUGCGUAGAUUGGUAUCUAUUUUAAUGACCAACUCCGGUCGUUAUGGGUAAGCUAAUAGGGAAGGAAUCCGGGCCAGAAAACUUUAGGUAGUGACUUCAAAAAUUUUGAGCCUAGGCCAAAAUUGCACGUAUUUUGAGUCAAGUUUAAGGUGAUCCAGAAAUGGAUGGGGGAUGGAACCUCUAGUUUUAUUGAGUUAAUGGAUAGCUAAGCUGAUACGUAUCUUGUACGAUUUUAUGGAAUCGUAUUCGGGUGAGUAAAACUCCCAAAAUUGAACUUGGCGUGAAAGGUAUAUUUUAAGGCAUCUUAGGAUGAGGGUGUGUUGUAAAAUAGGAGACUUUGAGACUUUUUACGAGCUUUCUAUCUCCUCCUAUCCUGCUCUGACGAGACAGAUCAUGACUUAAGUCUGGAAAAUAAAUUCCAGAAUGGUUUAUUUCAUUCCCACUUCAUUCUUAAGAGAUCAGAAAUGACCUAGGGAAUUUUUUUAUUGAUUUCCACCAUAAUUUGUUCCAAAGGUAAGUAAUUACUCCCUCAACUUGUAAUUUGAUUCCUAGAACCCAUAGACUAUGGUUGGUGAUCAUUGGAGGAGGGUUUUGGACCGACCCUAAUGGUGGGAAAUAUCCCUAAGAUGGAGGUUAGGAUUGAGUGAGGCCUAAGAGGGGAAUUAUAUUAUAAUUCAUGUAAAUUAGGCCCUUGUAUUGAUCCUUUGUAUGUUAUUAUUGAUUUUAGACUAAGAACAAGCUAAACAAACUCGAAAAGGAAAAACUCCUGCACUUUAGAGUUGUCAAAGCAUGAUUUUGAGGUAGGCCAUGGUUUGUUUUCCCGUAUGUGAUUCAUGUACCAUUAAAUUACUUUGUUGUAUCGAUAUGUGUAUAUGAAUAGGACAGAACAAAAUGAACUAUAUGAAAUGACUACUUACUGGCAUUGACUUGUGAUGAACGGUUCUUAGUAGAUAUAUAAGUGUAACUAUUCAUUGUGAUUUUGGCUGAAUUAUAUGUUGGAUCGGGUGUCACGUUCUGACACAUACUUGAAUCGAGUGUCAUAUUCCGAUACAUAUUUAGAUCGAAUGUCACAUUUCGACACAAACUUUGGACCGAUCGUUCUGACAUAUAAUAAGUGCUUAUAGGUCUCAUGAGAGAACCCUUAUGUUAAAUUGUAUCAUAAUUGAGAUUCAUGAACUGUGAUCAUGUUGGCACUGGUUAUAAGAUGUUGAUAAUUAAGUCUACUAUAUAUAUAUAUAUGUGUGUGCGCGCGCGCGCACGCAUGCAUGUCUCGCUUACUAGCUAACCGCAUGAACUUAUCAGUACACUGUUAAUUUUUUAUACUGAUACUACACUUGCUUUAUCUUUAUUUAGUGCAUAGCUUAUUCAGACGACUGCUGAGAGACCUAAAAUAGAGGAUCGUUAGCUCCUUGAGUUCAAGGGUGAGCCAUUUCUUUUAGGCUUUCGUGGACUCUCCUUAUUCUAGUCCUUCUUUCCGGACUUAGACUCUUAACACUAUUAUUUUAUGACUUGUUGUGGUUGCAUCCCCCUUCCUAGACAAUGUAUUUUUUUAGAGUUUUGGUACAUUCGACUUUCGGUUCCUAGGAGAUAAAUUUCGUAUGUUUUAAGUUGAUAACUAGAUAUUUUCUGAGUUUGUGGGAAUUCAGCCUUUGUUUAUUUAUUAAACAUGUUUCUACAUCUUUUAGUUGUUUAUAUCUGCGAAUGCUUUUAUUUGGGCUGUAAUAAUGAUUCUCCCACUGAAGGGGGUUAGUGUAGGUCUAAUCACAGCAGUUCAGGAUCGUGAUAGACUGCCUUGACACUUGAUAAAUAAGGUGUAAGUCUCGAUAAAUUAUGAUGGGGAGUUUUAUUGAGUCAUAACGAUUGUUGUAUUGAAGGAUCGGUGUACAAAGGUGUAUGAUCCUAUGUCCUCAUUGAGAAACAAAAAAAUUUCUAGUGAAAUGCAAAUGUUAGCUAUAAUGUUGCCAAGGUAUCUUCAAUACAGUGAUUCUUUUGAGCAAAAAGAUCGAAUCGACUGGUCAGUGAUUGAAUCUUAUAAGGGCAGGAACGAAUCCCACUCAUUUGAAGUUGAAUAUGUUGCUGGCAUAGCCCAACAAGCAAGUGAUAGGAUUGUGGAUUUUCUGGGAUUGACUACGAGUACCAUCUUCUUGGAUUGUUGCUAAAUCCCUUCGCAUGAGAUAUGCUUCAUUUUUAUGAAAUUAUGGAGUUAUAAUGGAUCAGAAUGGUUAUAUUAGUGACAAUGAAGACCCACAGAGGCUGCCUAGACCUAAACCCAUCUUUAUACCUCUAGAUGAAAAUGUUAUGAUUACCAUUGAGUAGAUGUAGAUCUGUUGGUUAUGGUUAUGUCUAAUUUUGGAGUUACCUUUUUAUUGAUAAGUUGUAAAAAAAAAGGCGACUGCUUAUAUAUUAAUGUAUUUAAUAUUACAUUCUAAA